GAAAUGGGGAUGGUGUAAGGUCACUCUUAGGCAGUCAAGAUGGCAAAAUUAUGGCAAACUGAUUGGGUAUUUUUAAGGCAAGGACUAUUCAACUGACAAAAAUUUAAAUUUUUAAAUGAUAUCUAUCAGACUCACUGGAAUGAUGAUAAGUUGAAUUUAACGCAGUUAUCUUAGCUGCGUGCCUUAUGGCGUUCGCGAGCCUCGCAAAACUCACGACCAUGAGCACGGCGAUUGACGACUCACUUGCUUGUCAGCGAUUAGUUGUUAAAAUGGAAUUUUGAGGAGCUGAUUUAACAUUUCAUUUCAAGGUUUUUAAGUCAACGCGAAGAUGAUCGUAAACUGAUAUAACGAUCGCGGCUAUACGCAAAUCUCAAAUGAAACAUCUGCCUUAGACCUACUUCAUGAAUCAAACAAAUAGAGAUUGCGACACGCGUAUGUGUGUUUCGUGACGUCGUGAAAGCCCUUCGCUACUUGUAACGGACAGAAUUUUAUAAUAGAAAUAAGCAGCGAGCAGCCGAUUUUUAAUCAAUUUUGUGCGUUAAUGAACUAUUUCAAGUUUUUUUUUCAGUGAUAAACAUUCUACUGAAUGCGGUGUGCAGUAUACGGUCAUGAUAAUUGUAGUGGGUAAAGAAAUGAAAGUGAUAGGGAAGUAAAAAUAAGCUUCCAUUCAUUUCCGAAGUGCCGCGAAAUUAGCGACAAAUGGAAAGUGAAAUGCUGUCGCAGGGAUAAAUUUAAUACGGCUACUUCUAAGAUUAGCAACAAACAUUUCAUGGCAGGUGACAAAAAAAAAGAAAUUGCAACAUGAACUUCUCGGUGAAUUACUAAGCAUUUUAGGGUGUUUAUGUUGCGCAAAAUAAAAUUCAUAUUAUGGAUGUAAAGCAAAAAUAUUGACGCGAAAGUAAUACAACUAUUCUUUAGAUUAAAUAUAGUGAAAAAAACUUUAAUUAUAUUAAACUGAUUUUCAAAUAUUUUCUAAUUUGGAUGGAAAAACUUGGCGUUCAAGGCGAUGCUAGCGGCAACCGGAACCGGAACCGGUUCAUGGGGACACCUGGCGAAAUGCCAGUUUGAUUAGCGAUGGGUAGGUGAAGGGAUUUUGAAACUGGAAGUGGUAGGUGAAAGUUCAAAAGAAGGGUUUGGUUCAAUUGUUCGCGAGUGCAUAUACUUAUAUUUUAGUUGACGCGUUGUGAAUUUAUUAGAGUCAAAGCUGUAAAGGAAUUUAGAAUUCGCGAUGAAUAAACAAAGAGAGCUGAAAAGGAAAAGACGAGGGGAUUUCUUCGUUCAGAGUUUCGCCAGCUGGCAAAUUCCGAGAAAGUUGACGGACCAUCUCCCAUUAACUUCUGAGAUCUCCCAAGGAAUCAUUCCCAUAUAUAUUUUUGUUUGUAAAGUCGUAUAUUUGUAUAUUUACGGCAAUAGUGAAAAGUUUUACGGUAUAAAUUAAAUUUUAAAAAAAAAUGAUUUGUAGGAACUGAACCUUGUCACGCAUCAUGCAAAGCUCUGGGUGUAACUGGAGUCAUCCCGUGU